CCACUGUGAGAACUGGCCUGAGUCGCCUGUGACUUCUGAGGUCUUGUGUAUUCCACGAUCCACAGGCAGAUUUCCCCAGGACGAGAGAAGGAUAUCCAAUUGCUCAUCAGGGAAGGUGCUAGGUCUCCCAGCCAGACACUCUCAGAGGCCAGUGUCAAGUCUCCCUCACCUCUGUGAUGUGAAGUCAGCUCUUUCAUGACCUGGGCAGGCCGAGGGUCAGAGAGGCAGAUGGAGCACUCCGGGCCAGAUGA
rnacentral:lncRNA from 1 species